AUGAAGGGGCUGACUGAAGCAACUCCAGAAAAUGAAACCAAUAGAGAAAUGGGACCACCGCCUUUGACUUCAAACAACCCGCCUUCAAUCUCAACUCGAGAAAGUAAUAUUCCAGAUUCUGCUCGUGGUCAACUGAGGGAAGGUGAUAUUCAACCUGAUCCUGGUCUUAGGAAACCUAUUAAAAGCUUAGAUCCGGACAUUAGAGAUGUCGCUAGAAGGAUAUUUCUUCUAUUACAAGAUCUUCCUUUUCGUGGUCAUGAUUGGAGCUCAAGCUCAAAGAAUAGGGGGAAUUUUUUGGAGAUGAUGAGUUGGUACAGGGAGAAGGAUUCAAAUGCUAAGACUUUGCUUGAUAGUGCAUGCGGGAACCAUUUGAUGACUUCACAUGGGAUACAAUUGCAACUAUGUCAAGCUUGUGCAGAAGAGACCACCAAAGCAAUUAUUGAUGAUAUUGGAAAUAGAAAAUUUUCUUUACUUGUUGAUGAGUCCAGAGAUGCAUCAAUAAAGGAUCAAAUGGCUAUGGUUUUAAGGUAUGUUGAUAAACAUGGGUAUGCGAUUGAGAGGUUCAUUGGGAUUAAGCAUGCUGGUGACACAAGGACAGCUUCUCUAAAAUUAGUGGUUGUUGCUGCUGCCAAGUGUUGUUCCUCUGUAUUGGAUUUCUUUAACCACAUAACUUUGAUUGUCAACAUCGUCAAUGCUUCUUGUAAAAGAGAUGAUGAAGAGGUGUUUUUACAAGAACAACAUGAUAAUAUUGAGUUGGCAUUGAUUUUGCUUGUUGCAACCGCAUCAGUGGAAAGAGCUUUCUCAGCUAUGAGUAUUAUCAAGACUGAGUUGAGGAAUAAGAUGGGUGAUGAUUGGUUGAAUUAUUCCAUGGUGUCAAAUAUUGAGCAAGAAAUAUUUGCAAAGGUUGAUGAUGAUGCUAUUAUAUAUCGCUUUCAAGGCUAUAGAUUUCGCAAAGGAACUUUACCUCGUCGUAGUAGUGUUGGCUCUUCUUCCACCGUUGAUCAAGUUAUGGAAGACACUGAUGAAGCAAACAAUUGA
rnacentral:rRNA from 1 species